rnacentral:rRNA from 1 species
AGUGAACGCUGGCGGUAGGCCUAACACAUGCAAGUCGAACGGCAGCACAGUAAGAGCUUGCUCUUACGGGUGGCGAGUGGCGGACGGGUGAGGAAUACAUCGGAAUCUACUUUUUCGUGGGGGAUAACGUAGGGAAACUUACGCUAAUACCGCAUACGACCUACGGGUGAAAGCAGGGGAUCUUCGGACCUUGCGCGAUUGAAUGAGCCGAUGUCGGAUUAGCUAGUUGGCGGGGUAAAGGCCCGCCAAGGCGACGAUCCGUAGCUGGUCUGAGAGGAUGAUCAGCCACACUGGAACUGAGACACGGUCCAGACUCCUACGGGCGGCAGCAGUGGGGAAUAUUGGACAAUGGGCGCAAGCCUGAUCCAGCCAUACCGCGUGGGUGAAGAAGGCCUUCGGGUUGUAAAGCCCUUUUGUUGGGAAAGAAAAGCAGCAGGUUAAUACCCCGCUGUUCUGACGGUACCCAAAGAAUAAGCACCGGCUAACUUCG